AUACGUAGGUGGCAAGCGUUAUCCGGAAUUAUUGGGCGUAAAGAGGGAGCAGGCGGCAGCAAGGGUCUGUGGUGAAAGCCUGAAGCUUAACUUCAGUAAGCCAUAGAAACCAGGCAGCUAGAGUGCAGGAGAGGAUCGUGGAAUUCCAUGUGUAGCGGUGAAAUGCGUAGAUAUAUGGAGGAACACCAGUGGCGAAGGCGACGAUCUGGCCUGCAACUGACGCUCAGUCCCGAAAGCGUGGGGAGCAAAGAGGAUUAGAUCCCCUAGUAGUCCACGCCGUAAACGAUGAGUACUAAGUGUUGGAUGUCAAAGUUCAGUGCUGCAGUUAACGCAAUAAGUACUCCGCCUGAGUAGAACGUUAGCAAGAAUGAAACUCGAAUGAAUUGGCGGGG
rnacentral:rRNA from 1 species